rnacentral:guide_RNA from 1 species
AUAUAACGAUGAUCAUCAAAGUUUUACUCGGUGUGAAUGUUUAGUG